rnacentral:lncRNA from 10 species
CUUCCUCCAGCCGGUGGCGUCGCCGCCCCAACCCGCGGCGUCCUCCGCCGCUCCUCCUCAGCUUCUCUCUCCUCCGGCCCCGGCGAUCGUGGCCCGCCAGGUGCACCGCCUCCUUACCGCCUCCUCGAGGUCCAUCGCGGCGCCGCGGGAGCUUCCACAGCCGGGACCCGUUACCCGGGUAGCGAGCGCAGCUUCCGGGAAAGGCUGGAGAAGCUUCCGGCCGGAAACGCGAGAUCCGCGCCUAGGAUUCCGUGCGCCUGCGCGGCAGGGAAACCGCGCGCUCGGGGGCGAGGCUCCGCAAAGCUCGCAGACCCCUCGCGGACUACCUAACUUUCCUACUCUUGAGAACCAAAACCAACCAAUAAGAAAGUGGGCGACGCCUACUGCUGAGUGGUUUGAUCAAGCUCCGUUCCGACGAUCAUUCAUUCCAAGACAGACUUGCUCCUCCGGCGGCACGGGGGGUCGGACAAGGCCGUGCUCGCGAGCGCGGGCUCUGUCCUCUGUGGGUUCCGCCCUCCGUGGGUUCUGCCCUCCGAGUCUCGCCCCUUGCUGGCUUUUUUAAGGGGAAGCCUCGGGGCUUGGAGGAAAGCUCACGGGCUGUGAGUUAGACCUAGGUUUCUAAUCACGGCUCUCCUGCUUACUUGUGCCUCAGUUUACUCCUCUGUAAGAAUUAGAUGUUAUCUGUGAGCCCCUUAUAAUUGAGUCUCCACCGGGCGUGCUGGUUCACGCCUGUAAUCCUGGGGAGGCUGAGUCGGGAGGAUUGCUUGAGGCCAGGAGUUGGAGACCAGCCGGGGCAACAAAGCGAGACCCCUUCUCUGCAUAAGUAAAUAACUGAAUAAAUAAAUGCAUGAGUGAAUAUAAUUGAGUCUCAGUAAGUGCUCAAUAAAUUUAGCUCUUAUUGUUUCUUCAUCUAACACAUUCAUUCCUUGUUUUAUUUAUUAAACAGGAACUGGUUUGUGUCCUGGGGAUUCAGCAGUGAACAAAGUAAACAAAAGUCCUUGCCUUCAUGGAGAUUGUAUUCUGAUGGGGAGAGACAAAAAUAAAUAAGGAAAAUAUGUGGUAUGUUAAGUGGUGGUGAGUUCCAAGGAGAAAAAUAAAGAGGAGAGGAGAAUGGGAACAACAAGGUGAUUUCAGUCUGAAAUGUGAUGUUCAAGAGAGAUCUCAUUGAGAA